GUCGUUGUAGUAUAGUGGUGAGUAUCCCCGCCUGUCACGCGGGAGACCCGGGUUCGAUCCCCGGCAACCGGCG
rfam:Ipomoea nil DNA, scaffold: scaffold0822, cultivar: Tokyo-kokei standard.